UUGGGCGCGCGUCGGGAGAAGAGCUGCAGCCGGGGUCAACCUCCGCAGCAUGGGGUCGACCCGGGCCGGCCCGGGUCCAGUGUGAGACAUUCCCCCCCUUUCCAAUCCCGGCUGCCGUGAGCUGGUCUCCUGGAGUGACCCCUGACGUGGGAGACUGGGCUUUGUGCCCGGACCCGACCCCAGAUUUCUUACCCCGACCGGGCCCCAGAGGUUUCAAAGAAGCGGAGGACCCCUGAGUGGGAGUCUUCCUGGAGUGUGAACCUAUCUGCAGAGACCCCUCUCCUGAGAGAAAAUGACUACAGAUCUUAUUAUUCAGAAUGAAAAAAAACCCAGGAGGGACCUGUGAUAGUAAAGGUGGAGGAAGAGAACUUUUUUGUACAAGAAAUUGACUUGCAGCAGAAUAGCCAGUCCAGCCAGGAAGUCUUCUGCCAACACUUUAGACGGUUCUGCUACCAGGAGACACCUGGACCCAGGGAGGCUCUGAGCCAACUCCAGGAACUUUGCUGUCAGUGGUUGAGCCCAGAGAAUCAUAAAAAGGAGCAGAUCCUGCAGUUGCUGGUGUUGGAGCAGUUCGUGGCCAUCCUGCCUGAGGAGCUCCAGGCUUGGGUGCUGGAGCAUCAUCCAUUGAAUGGAGAUGAGGCUGUGUCUUUGCUGGGAGAUUUGGAGAGAGAACUUGAUGAUCCAGAAUUUCAGGUGGGAAGAGGAAGCAUGUUCUGCUGUGGCAAUCAGACCAUUAAAUUAACCACAUUUAAUAGUUUGGUUCCUUAAUAGUGUCAGUUCCUUUUUCUGUCUCAUCUCUCCUGCUAAGCCCAUUCAGUCCCUUUUCCUAAUCCUGUCUCCAUGGGAGUUGUUUCCUAAGGUUUUAGCUCUGGUUUUCACAGUAGUUUCCUCCUAAGCCCAGUGGUCCCUAACUGUCUCCAGGGCACAUCUCAAGCAGGUGGACAGGAAAUGCUCUGGCAGGAGGUGAUAUCUCUGGGAGCUGCACAACAGUCACCAAGUUGUCAGCUCUGGCACGUGGAGACCCUGCUCAAGCAUGACUCUAUAGUCACAAAAUAUAGAAAGUAUUAAGAUGAAAACCCCAUUUCCUACGAGAGAGGUGAGGAGGAGAGGGAGGAAUCUAUCUGGGAAGGUGGGUUAGGGUAGCAGGCUCCUACUUGGCCGGCCAAAGCCAUCCUUUACAACUUAAUCAGUAGUGUUUCUAACCCUAACUCUCACCUGAAAUCUUCCCUGGCUCAUCUGCCUCUCUCUUUACAAAGUACAACCUUUAUUCUUGGUCUUUUAAGCAAAAUAUUUUUAUUUUAUCUGUUUUCGUAUACCAUGUUGGUUUUCAUUAAAGCAUUAAACUAUCA